GACGGACGGACAGCGCUGGGGCGCGCUGGGCCUCGGCGCUGCCGCGGAGCCGCGUGGGGCCCGUCCCGCCCGCACGUCUCGGGGUGCCGAGGAAAAGAGGUGCUCUGGGCUCGGCUACAACCCUGCACUGUGACUGGUGAAAGCGUGAACAAAAGUUCUGCUGUACGGGUUGGUUUCUUCCAGGCUUGCUGAGGUCGGAGUUUGUGGCGGAUCAGUUGGUGUUUUACCUCAGAAUCACAGAAUCACUUAGGCUGGAAAAGUCCUCGAAGUCCUGGGCUCCAGCCUCUGACCGAGCACCACUUUGUCGGUGUGACCAUGGCACUAAGUGCCGCGUCCAGUCUUCCUUUAAACACUUCCAGGGAUGGUGUGACUCCACACUUCCCUGAGCAGCCUGUUCCAAUGCUUCCCAACCUUUUCUGUGAAGAGAUUCCUCCUAAUGUUCAACCUAAACCUCCCCUAGUGUAGAUUAAGACUGUGUCCUUUAAUCCUGUCGCUGGUUGCCUGGAAGAAGAGGCCGAUCCCCACCUGAUUACAGCCUCCUUUCAGGAGAUUUCCUGGAGGUUGGACUGGAAUAUGUCUCUUGGGAAAAUACGUCAUUUUGCCUGAAAGACUCCAAGCAAUGAUGACUUACCACCUCCUCAGAUGAACAUUACUAUGCUGAGAAGACAGUGUCAUGUGAAAGCCUGCCAGACAACCCAGACGGAGUGCCAUGAAGAGCUGUCUAAUUGCAAGACCUGCUGGCUGUGUUCACAACUUGAGGAUCAGAGGGAAACACAAAUUUAUGCCAGUCCUAGAAAAGGAAAGGAGGAAAACCCUAACAAGGUAUGCUUGGCUUACCUUCUCUUCUCAGCUGCCAUGGUCGCUCUACCCCCACAAGAAAACCAGCUGCCAGGAGCUAUAUGCAUAACGUAUAUGCACUUAACAACACUUUCAUUGUCUUUCUAUCCAAUUGCAAAAGUCAUUUUCUUAGCUCAUUGCUCCGGUCCUGCCACUCCUCUUUUUUUGCAUAAUGCCAUUGGCUCCAUUUCUUCACUGCAUGAAAUAUAUACGAUACAGAUGACUUCUCUUUACUUUUCAAGCCAUGUCUAAUCUACAUCACCAAGAAGUUUCCCUCAUUGCCAUUAUACAAGCGAUACCAGUAUUUUAAGGCAGUAUUGUACAUUCACUUUCAUGCUUUCACCCAUGCUACUGAUUAUGCAUAGCACAAAAUCUGUGUAAUACCCCUAAACCCUUCUUUCUCUGCUUUUUCAACCAUCAAGUCUCUGCCUCAAGCUUUGUCAGAGCCCAAGCAUGGCUACAUAACUCUUUUGCUGGAGAUGCUUUUUCAUAUGAAUCAGUUAUAACCUCUUCCUGCUCAUCUUCUCUCUAUAAGGCACUUCAAAGGCAAAAUAGUUUGUUGGUUUCAUGUCUGUAGUGCAAGCUACAGUGAGGAUGGGUUUAGGUGUAAUUUUAAGAGUAGCAUUAACAACAAAAAUACAGUAAACCAAAUUAUUUGUCUUGUUUCUAAGUCUGCAAGGUACUUCCAGGGAGUAGUUUCAGUAUAAGCUGUUUAAUUUGCCAUACUAAAGUUGCUUAAGUCUGUGGAUUCCAGGCGUAAAUUUGCCGCAGGGACUAAGAGACAAAGAGGGGGACUGGAACGGUGCCUUUUCUGACAGAUGACUGUUACUGGCUUAGUAGAAUUACCAGAAUGCACCCUGAGGGGCUGUAGUCAUUCUGUUUGAUUCACUCAGUGAGAACCAUGCUCAGCAUGGAGCCAUGGGGGCAUGGUGAUGUGAUUUACAGGUCCCUUACCAGGAUCAUAGUCAAAGUCACCCACAGUGCUGCCUGGACAAACAUCUGGCCACAUUUCUGUUAGUAUGGAGCUGUGAGUGGUUCUGCAAAAUUCUGUUUUAUGGAGAGGUAAUAUAAAAUGGCAUUUCCCCUUGUUUCUGUUUCUUUUGGAAAUUAUGUUAUUUUGUCAUCUCAUGUGUAGGUAGAGUAAAGUAAAUAAUAUAGAGUAAAGGAUAUUAUAUUAUAAAUUAUACUUUUCAAAAACCACUUUAAAGGGUUAAUUAAUUCUAUUAAUUAGAAUAAUAGUCAGGGUAUGCAAUUUAAGAUUCUUAGAGACUUAAGAUAUCACUGAGCUAGAGAAAUGAGAUCUACAUGCUUUCAAUAUUUAGCAGCUAGAAGAUCACAUUUUCAUUCAUGACCGCAAAGUGUGUGUUUUAUUCAGGAAAAAUGAGUCUUGUCAAAUAGCUUUCAUAUUGUUCUUUGGCAAGAUUACAAGUAAAUUUGAUAAACAUGACUCUAUUGACAUAAUACACUAGUUUAUGUAGGACAUUUUUUUUAUUCUGUGUGGCAGCAUGCAUUGAAGAGAUGUAUGGGAACCAAAAAAUUUAAGAAGUAUUUUUCUAUAUGGUUGUUUGCCAUGUCACAGCUCCCUGCAAUAUGCCUGCCUCCUUUCUGUGUUUUUACUUUAUUGCCUUAUAAUGCCUGUAGUUUAAAAAUGCCCUGUCUUUGCAUAAUGUCUAACAUCUUGAAGUAUUCAGAAUACCAAACAAUGGGCACUGGAACCAAACCAGUUUGUCAAGGAUCUGUCCUUUUCUAGUUACACUUCAAAACUCUAAGGUAGUCACAUUUUCUGUAUUUUAUAAAAUAAGUAUUAUCAGGUUCCUAAUUGAACGAAUCAGUGAUGCAACCAUGCAAUAAAGCUCAUGAACUGCUGAGCCCAGUGCACGGCAUUACUCUAUCCAGUGCACAGUGGAUAAAUAUACCUUUAAAAAUAUCCAGCUAUCAUUUUCAUGCUGUUGGACUAAUCACAAGAGAAUCUGUAGACUGAAUAGUGAAAGGGUGAAAACUACUCUUAAAGCCCCCAAUAAGAGUGAGCCCUCAGUAGUGUGAACAUGCAAGAUGAGAAGAGAGCUUCAGUUCCUCUGUGGUCUUGAUGAGUCCCUGAUGCCAUUCACUGAUACUAAGUUAUACAAAGUUUAAUCUCUGAUGUCAGUACAAUUCUCAGCAGAUGUCUUAGUAAUUUCUCCAUGCAGGCAGUGAAAGGCAAAAGAAUUUUUUUUUCCCUAGCAUUCAGGAACAAAUAGCACUGAUAAUAAAAUGUCUUUUUACUUGUCUACUAGUCUGGCUAAUGAAGAUGACGGGCCAUGAAGUUUCAGAGUAUUUAUGAUUUUAAAAGGUGGAGUAUACACCCAGUAAUCACCUAUAGAUAGCUGACUCUAGUGUUCAGGAAUACUUGAUUCCCAAGCUGCAAACCCUAUUAUUCAUCUGGGUAUUAAGUGUUGAUUCUACCAGGUACAUGGUGAAAAGGUCUUUGACUUAAGUCAUUCAAAUGACAUACACAUUCUAUGAGCAAAUCACACAGACAAAAUCUCUGACUACAAGUGAGGAAGGCUCUCUCCUUCGUACUGGAAAAAGUCUCAAAGGUUACACAUUAUUGUCUUUCUAGUCAUGAAUGUGUAGAGAGCUGGGGCCCUGAAUAUUUGGUUGGUGAGUGUAGGAAACGAAUCAAUACAGAAUUACUUUUUGUAAGAUCUGUUCAUUUGUCAGCAGUCAAAACAUUACAUUUUCUUCAAAAGUAUAUUUUGAUUGAGACAGUACUAUAAUAAUACAGGCAUUGUGUAUUUAUUUUUAUUAAACUAAAAAUGGUACUAUUUUCUAUGAGAGACAAAAUUAAAUACACUUUUUAGUGGCUU